rnacentral:rRNA from 1 species
AUCGAACGCUGGCGGCAGGCCUAACACAUGCAAGUCGAACGAGUGGCGGACGGGUGAGUAACGCCUGGGCAACCGCCUGUUGGUGGGGGAUCAUUACUGGAAACGGUAGCCAAUACCGUAUACCAUCAUAUGAGCCCAGAUGGGAUUAGCUAGUUGGUGGGGUAACGGCUCACCAAGGCGACGAUCCCUAGCUGGUCUGAGAGGAUGACCAGCCACCCUGGAACUGAGCCACGGUCCAGACUCCUACGGGAGGCAGCAGUGGGGAAUAUUGCACAAUGGGCGCAAGCCUGAUGCAGCCAUGCCGCGUGUAUGAAGAAGGCCUUCGGGUUGUAAAGUACUUUCAGCGGGGAGGCGUUACCCGCAGAAGAAGCACCGGCUAACUCCGUGCCAGCAGCCGCGGUAAUUC